rnacentral:rRNA from 1 species
AGGAUGAACGCUGGCGGCGUGCCUAACACAUGCAAGUCGAACGGCACCCAUCUUCGGAUGGAAGCGAGUGGCGAACGGCUGAGUAACACGUGGAGAACCUGCCCCCUCCCCCGGGAUAGCCGCCCGAAAGGACGGGUAAUACCGGAUACCCCGGGGUGCCGCAUGGCACCCCGGCUAAAGCCCCGACGGGAGGGGAUGGCUCCGCGGCCCAUCAGGUAGACGGCGGGGUGACGGCCCACCGUGCCGACAACGGGUAGCCGGGUUGAGAGACCGACCGGCCAGAUUGGGACUGAGACACGGCCCAGACUCCUACGGGAGGCAGCAGUGGGGAAUCUUGCGCAAUGGGGGGAACCCUGACGCAGCGACGCCGCGUGCGGGACGGAGGCCUUCGGGUCGUAAACCGCUUUCAGCAGGGAAGAGUCAAGACUGUACCUGCAGAAGAAGCCCCGGCUAACUACGUGCCAGCAGCCGCGGUAAUACGUAGGGGGCGAGCGUUAUCCGGAUUCAUUGGGCGUAAAGCGCGCGUAGGCGGCCCGGCAGGCCGGGGGUCGAAGCGGGGGGCUCAACCCCCCGAAGCCCCCGGAACCUCCGCGGCUUGGGUCCGGUAGGGGAGGGUGGAACACCCGGUGUAGCGGUGGAAUGCGCAGAUAUCGGGUGGAACACCGGUGGCGAGGGCGGCCCUCUGGGCCGAGACCGACGCUGAGGCGCGAAAGCUGGGGGAGCGAACAGGAUUAGAUACCCUGGUAGUCCCAGCCGUAAACGAUGGACGCUAGGUGUGGGGGGACGAUCCCCCCGUGCCGCAGCCAACGCAUUAAGCGUCCCGCCUGGGGAGUACGAC